rnacentral:rRNA from 1 species
CACGGAGGAUGCGAGCGUUAUCCGGAUUUAUUGGGUUUAAAGGGUGCGUAGGCGGGAUGCCAAGUCAGCGGUAAAAAUGCGGUGCUCAACGCCGUCGAGCCGUUGAAACUGGCGUUCUUGAGUGGGCGAGAAGUAUGCGGAAUGCGUGGCGUAGCGGUGAAAUGCAUAGAUAUCACGCAGAACUCCGAUUGCGAAGGCAGCAUACCGGCGCCCUACUGACGCUGAGGCACGAAAGCGUGGGUAUCGAACAGG